rnacentral:rRNA from 1 species
CCCUUAGAUGUUCUGGGCCGCACGCGCGCUACACUGAUGCAUUCAACGAGUCUAAAACCUGCUCUGAUAGGGGUGGGUAAUCUUUUGAAUGUGCAUCGUGAUUGGGAUAGAUGAUUUCAAUUUUUCAUCUUCAACGAGGAAUGCCUAGUAAACGCAAGUCAUCAGCUUGCAUUGAUUACGUCCCUGCCCUUUGUACACACCGCCCGUCGCUCCUACCGAUUGAAUGAUCCGAUGAAUAUCAUGGAUUGAGGAUGCAAGUAGGUUCGCCUAUCUUCAUCUUCGAGAAGUGAAGUAAAUCUUAUCAUUUAGAGGAAGGAGAAGUCGUAACA